GUUUCAAAUUUAGGCGACUCGGAGGACGCUGUACAUUCAAAUGGUUUGCGUGUUUUGUGGAAGCGGCUUCCGGGUCCUCCGCGAGGGAGUCCCCUUCCGCCGUCAAUGUGCACGGUGGGGUUUGUGAAGGUUUGACGGGGCAGGCUCGCCCGCUGCACGACGCCUUUUGAGGGGAGUCGGAGCAGGGCGCGAAAGCCGCCGCCAGAGAUGCGUUAAUGAUCCUUCCGCAGGUUCACCUACGGAAA
rnacentral:misc_RNA from 1 species